CCCGGUGGCCAUGCCGGAGGGGCCACACCCGUUCCCAUUCCGAACACGGUCGUUAAGCCCUCCAGGGCCGAUGGUACUGCACUGGCAACGGUGUGGGAGAGUAGGUCGCUGCCGGGA
rnacentral:rRNA from 1 species